CCUACGGGAGGCAGCAGUGAGGAAUAUUGGUCAAUGGCCGGAAGGCUGAACCAGCCAUGCCGCGUGAAGGUCAGUGCCCUAUGGGCGUUAAACUUCUUUUGUGCGGGAGCAAUAAUGGUCACGUGUGGCCAUACGAGAGUACCGUACGAAUAAGAAUCGGCUAACUCCGUGCCAGCAGCCGCGGUUACACGGGGGAUGCAAGCGGUAUGCGGAUUUUAUGGGGUGAAAGGGAGCGUAGGCGGGUUGUUAAGUCAGUUGUGAAAGUUUGCGGCUCAACCGUAAGAUUGCAGUUGAUACUGGCAACCUAGAGUACGGUAGAGGUAGGCGGAAUUCGAUGUGUAGCGGUGAAAUGCGUAGAUAUCACGAAGAACUCCGAUUGCGAAGGCAGCCUACUGGACUGUAACUGACGCUGAUGCUCGAAAGUGUGGGUAUCAAACAGGAUUAGAUACCCGAGUAGUC
rnacentral:rRNA from 1 species